UUCAUCAACAUUAACAUAAUUGAUGCAUGCGGGUUUCUUCUCCUUCUGUUUGCUGUAAUUUUUGUUUGUUUUAAUUAGUUUAUGCAUGGUUAAUCUCCUUCAAUCUGACAAACAAUUGAUUUGCAUGUUUAGUUUGAAGUUACAAUCUGGUGGUAGUAAUCGGUCACUCUGAUCUUUCCCUCUCCAUCUUUGUUUCAGUGAUUCUCUAUUUGCUGAGCUAAAAUUUAUCUCCCUUUUUUAUAUUUUUUAAUACCCUUUUUCUAUUGAAGGUGAUGUCCAUGAUGUUGAUUAUGACAAUGGUGGUGGUGAAUAUGGUUAUGAUGCUAAUAUUGGACUAUGUUGUUGAACAACAGAUUAUGAUAAAGAACGUAGCAUUGGGAUAUGCAUGUUGGGUGGAAUGGCCUUGAUUCAUGAUGAAAGUCAGGCCCUUGAUUGAGUGUAAUGGCCAUGGGAUAAGGCUUAGAUGACGACGACGACAAUGAUGACCUCUGCUGCUAUUGGAUUUUCUACUUGAAGUUCCGAAUAUAUGAGUUUGCACUUCUAUUCUUCAUAUGCUCAGUUGGUUUUCUGUGGGCUUCUAUCCUUCAAUCCUUCAGCUCAUGGGAGUGAAUUUGGUGGUGCUAUGCUUGUCAUGAGCAGUGGGGUUUUGCUGGGCAGUUUCAUAUCAAAUUCCAUGGUUUUAAGCUGUAGUGCAGAAUUGCAGGCCAGUAACAGCCCCAAGGAUCUGUUGUGAUUUUGAUUGAUUCAUAGAAUUUGGUUGUUAUUAUCAAAUGGAAUGGCCCUAUGUGCUAUUUGUAUGGGCUGCUCAGAUGUCAGACACCCUUUCAGUGAUUCAUGCGUUGCAGCAUCUUUUUGUUUUUGAAUUGAUGCAGUUGGAGCCGAUUUCUUUCUUACUUCUUCUUACUUGGUUUCUUUCUUUUCUUGUCUUCUUUUUUUAUUAGCUGAAUGCAGAUGAUGUCCAAUGUUAAUGUUCAAUCUAUGCAUUAGUGGCUAGCUGUUGCCGUCUGCUCGGGAUAGUUUAUUUUACAACAGAUUCAUUGAUGGAGACUAGGUGCAGGCCAGUGGCUGCUUGAUUUUUCUCCAAUUUUCUGUGCAUUCAUGGCCUUCUGAUGUUGGUAUAGUGAUGUCUUAGAUAUGGGCAAUUCGUCUAACUUUGAGUUGUUAAAAGUAGCCCACUUGUUUAUGCAUUGUCAAUUUGCAAACUUCAUGUGAGAAGCUUUUCCUAUCUCCUUGGUAUAGGUUUAUAUACUGAUGCAGGGAGGGACAUGAUGAGGUCGAUCACCAUCUUCCUCAGGGGAUAUCUGCUCCGAAUCCAUGGAGCUCUUUGGACUCCUAACAGAGCUUCCUCAAAUUCACAAGGGAUAAAAGUAGAAAUAAUUUCUAAUAAAUUCAAAACAACUUGAUUGAUGAUAAAAAAUGAAAUUACAACUCUUUAAAUAAAGAAGUCAAACCUAGGAUAGAG